GCUUGUCUCAAGAUUAAGCCAUGCAUGUCUAAGUAUAAAUGUUAUACAGUGAAACUGCGAAUGGCUCAUUAAAACAGUUAUAGUUUAUUUGAUAAUCGAAUUUACAUGGAUAACCGUGGUAAUUCUAGAGCUAAUACAUGCUGGUUAGCCUGACUUUUAGGAAGGGCUGUAUUUAUUAGAUAACAAACCAAUAUUCCUCGUGUCUAUUGCGAUGAUUCAUAAUAACUGAUCGAAUCUCAAAUUUGAGAUAAAUCAUUCAAGUUUCUGCCCUAUCAGCUUUCGAUGGUAGUGUAUUGGACUACCAUGGCAGUAACGGGUAACGGAGAAUUAGGGUUCGAUUCCGGAGAGGGAGCCUGAGAAAUGGCUACCACAUCCAAGGAAGGCAGCAGG
rnacentral:rRNA from 1 species